GGAGGGUGCAAGCGUUACUCGGAUUUACUGGGCGUAAAGAGCACGUAGGCAGUUUGGUAAGUCUGAUGUGAAAGCCCACGACUCAAUCGUGGAAGUGCAUUGGAUACUGCCAGACUAGAGUACAGGAGGGGUGAGCGGAAUUCCAGGUGUAGAGGUGAAAUUCGUAGAUAUCUGGAGGAACAACGGAGGCGAAGGCGGCUCACUGGACUGUUACUGACGCUGAGGUGCGAAAGCGUGGGGGGAGCGAACGGGAUUAGAUACCCCGGUAGUCCACGCUGUAAACGAUGGAUACUAGGUGUCGGGGGCCUUACCCCUCUCGGUGCCGUAGCUAACGCGUUAAGUAUCCCGCUGGGGACUACGACCGCAAGGUUA
rnacentral:rRNA from 1 species